UUGGAGGAAGUGUCACUGGCAGGAAGUGGGGUGUGGGUGGGGGUUGGGUUUCAAAGACCCAAGCCAGUCACAGUGUCUCCGUUUUUUUUCCUGCUGCCUUCGGAUUUGGUUGUUAGAACUCUCAACUUCUCCAGCACCGAGUCUGCCUGCCUACUGCCGAGAUCUCCGCUAUGACAGGAGUGGACUGAACCUCUGAAACUAGGACAUUGGAAACCUCUUCAGCUUUUCCACAUGGACCUCAAACCAGUGACUUCCCAGGGAGAUUUCAGGCCUCCAGGGUUGGACCAGAACUGUAGAAGCUUUCAGCUUCGCACACCGCGAAGCUACUGUGUUCUCUGCCUCUCUAGCACACGGAUGACCAUCAUGAAGGUGUGCUGCAUCGUCGGGGACAUCAAUAGGAAGAUUCAAAAGGACGAAGCUUGCUCACCUGGACUCCAUAAAGUUUGAGGCAGGGUCUUUGCACGGCGCCGGCAGUAGUUCCCAACGACCUGUCAUCUGAUCGUCCGCUGCAACAUUCGCCACACUCGGGCCUGGGUUUGCCAUGCUAGAGCCUGACAGAGCCCCUUCAGUUGUUCAACUGGCUCUUCUAUGGGGGCACAGCUCAGUGGCAGUGCGUGUGCCCUCCACACACAGAACGCUCAGUGUGAACCCCACCACUGCAAAUAUCUCUUUAAGAUCUUGCUUUUGAUGCUGUACACAUCCUUAGACGUGAGAUUGUCGAAUUGUAUGAUAGUUAAAAUUUUGCUUUGAGGGGUUGGGGAUUUGGCUCAGUGGUAGAGCGCUUGCCUAGCAAGCGCAAGGCCCUGGGUUCGGUCCCCAGCUCAAAAAAAAAUUUUUUUUUUCUUUGAGCAAUCACUACCCGGUUGCCAUUUGGUAGUUUUAUUAAUUUCUCCCUUCAGGCUCCAGGAAGAUCUUCUUUGUUUGUCUAUUUGUGCUGAUAUAACAAAAUGCCGGAGAUAAUGUAAUUAGAAAUAGACAGACAGAAGUUUGGGACAGAUGGCCCAGUGGUUAGGUGUACUUACUACUUCUGUAGAGGACCCAGCUUCAGUUCCCAGACCCCUAAUGAUGCUCCUAACCAUCUGUAAUUCUAAUUCUAGGAUAUCCAACACCGUCUUCUGGCCCCUUUCAGACACAGGCACACUCGUGGUUGUGCACACAUAGUGUGGGCAAACACUGAUGAAGUGGAAAUUUCUGGUUUCUUUGGAAACUCAGUUCUGACUCCCCCUCACACAGACACACAUAGAGGCAAAAGA
rnacentral:sRNA from 1 species